GGGCCCCAGCAGUCGUAGAGUGGAUAUGGUCUGCAGUGCAGCACAUGAGAUGAAGUUUCUCAGCAAUUAAAACCAAAGACAAUGUCCCACUCCUUUGAAAUGCGGCUAAGAGGUUGCCGUUUCCACAGCCCUUACCAUCUUAUCCAUGUUUAACAUGCAAUCAAGACAGAGGGAAGGAGAAAGACCAUUCCCACUCGGCACACACUGGUUGAAUCAACGUUGUUUCAAUAGAUGUUGAGUUGACGUCUGUGCUCAGUGGGUUGUGACGGUUGUAAAUGUAUCUAGGCACUUGACUCAUCAACAUCGCCCCCAAACCCCUGUUCAGUGCUGUUGGGCUGUGUGUGUUUAGUGGGGUUAUAUAUCACUCUCCCUGUUUCCUCCCUGUCAUAUUGACAAACUUAUUACCACUGCAUGCAAUUACCAGGCCGUCUACGAGGAACAUAAAAAAACACUGUUGUCGAGUUUGCAUCCAACCUCCUCAUAAACAUGAUCCACAGGAGUCUAAUUAAUCAGCUAAUAGCAUUAUCUCUGUCUGAGAGAGAGGAGGUGCCAUUCGUGUGUGACAGUCUCUCUGCUUUUUCCCCAAGCUGCCUACACUCACUCUGGUAGAUCUGAAAUAAUAAUGGAUUUCCUUCGUCUUUAACGCGUGGUUUUACGUCCCGUUAAUUAAUGUGUUAUCAUCACCCUUAAUCCGCUCAUCCAGCGCCCCUCCCACCAUGCGUUACUAAUGGUCCCUAAUCAUUACUCCUUUUUCCCUCCUCCACUCAUCUUCUCCUCUCCUCCACUCAUCUUCUCCUCCACUCAUCUUCUCCUCUCCUCCACUCAUCUUCUCCUCCACUCAUCUUCUCUUCUCCUCCACUCAUCUUCUCCUCCACUCAUCUUCUCCUCCACUCAUCUUCUCUUCUCCUCCACUCAUCUUCUCCUCCACUCAUCUUCUCUUCUCCUCCACUCAUCUUCUCCUCCACUCAUCUUCUCUUCUCCUCCACUCAUCUUCUCCUCCACUCUUCUCCUCCACUCAUCUUCUCUUCUCCUCCACUCAUCUUCUCCUCCUCCACUCAUCUUCUCUUCUCCUCCACUCAUCUUCUCUUCUCCUCCACUCAUCUUCUUCUCCUCCACUCAUCUUCUCUUCUCCUCCACUCAUCUUCUCCUCUACUCAUCUUCUCCUCCACUCAUCUUCUCCUCUACUCAUCUUCUCCUCUACUCAUCUUCUCUUCUCCUCCACUCAUCUUCUCCUCUACUCAUCUUCUCUUCUCCUCCACUCAUCUUCUCCUCUACUCAUCUUCUCCCCCGCUCAUCUUAUAUAUAUUUUAGAGGCUGUAAGUAGCUGAUGGAAAUGGAGACUAAUUGAAGGGAAAGCCAUUUGGGAUGUUUCCAGAGGGAAUGAGGGAAAGAUAUGAACAGUUUCAAUUAGACGCCCUGCCACUCACCCUAGCCAACAGGCCCCAUCAGGACUCAUGGAGUUUAACCCUGGUGUAGAGGUGAAGACCGUGAUACCAUACAUUACUAACUAACUCGGUAUCUCUCCUGUAUGUCCUUUGAAUCAGGAUCCUGCCUGUAAGAGGGUCUAUUGUGUGUGUGGGGGGGGGUUCCAGAAAGGCUCAGAGUACUUUUUAUAAAAUAUAUUUUUAUUUGAUGCUCUUUAUGCUCCACGAUGCUCUAUGGCAGGGGUACUCAAGUACUAUUUGAGAAGGUCUGGUCACACAAAUGUCCUAAGGGGCAAAGACCCGAAUGGAUAGUCAUUUAUCAGCAUAGUAACAAGCCCCCACCUCACAACCCAUUCAACCUCAAACUGUUCACACCCCUCAUGUUGGCAGAAAGAAAUUGCAGUAUUAAAGCUCAUUUCCUGCAAUUCUACACAUUUUGCCAUUCCUUAUGUGUGUUAAUAUACCAGGGGUCGAAGCUCAACUGAGUUCCAAAAAAAAGACCAAAGUGUCCGCAGUCCGCCUGUUGAGCAUGGCUGUAAUGGUCUUCAUGUAGAAUAGUGCUUUUAACAGCCAUAUAAUAACUCCAGCUGUGUGGUUGGAAUAUAGGAGCAGCUAGGACAUCAAUAGCAGGUAUUAUAGUUAAUGAGUGGUGUAUGUUUCUCAUAUUAAAUGACUCCUGCGACCUACGUAGUGCUGCUGUGGUAAUCUUGCUCCACACAGUACCAAAUGGAUACCUUACUGAGUGUACAAAAUAUUAGGAACACCAUCCUAAUAUUGAGUUGCACCCCAUUUUGCCCUCAGAACAGCCUUAAUUUGUAGGUGCAUGAAUUCUACAAGUUGUUGAAAGUGUUCCACAGGGCUGCUGCCCCAUGUUGACUCCAAUGCUUCCCACAGUUGGGUCAAGUUGGCUGAAUGUCCUUUGGGUGGUGGACCAUUCUUGAUACACACAGGAACCUGUUGAGUGUGAAACCCAGCAGCGGUGCAGUUCUUGACACUCAAAACAGUGCGCCUAGCAACAACUACCAUACCCCAUCUUCAAUCUUUUGUCUUGCCCAUUCACCCUCUGAAUGGCACACAUACACAAUCCAUGUCUCAAUUCUCAAGGUUUGAACUUGUUUGUUAACCUGUCUCCUCCCCUCCCCUCCCCUGAUUGAAGUGGAUUUAACAGGUGACAUCAAUAAGGGAUCAUAGCUUUCACCUGGAUUCACCUGGUCAGUCUAUGUCAUGAAAAGAGCAGGUGUUCCUAAAUGUUUUGUACACUCAGUACGUAUGACUGUGGGAAAUGGAUUUGAUGCAGUUUGAAUAAGGAUCGCAGCCGGGAUGUCAGAUAACAGAGCGGACCUGAGUCCCCACCCUGCAGCGUGGCCCCAGCCCCAACUACACUGGUGAUGUCAGAUAACAGAGCGGACCUGAGUCCCCACCCUGCAGCGUGGCCCCAGCCCCAACUACACUGGUGAUGUCAGAUAACAGAGCGGACCUGAGUCCCCACCCUGCAGCGUGGCCCCAGCCCCAACUACACUGGUGAUGUCAGAUAACAGAGCGGACCUGAGUCCCCACCCUGCAGCGUGGCCCCAGCCCCAACUACACUGGUGAUGUCAGAUAACAGAGCGGACCUGAGUCCCCACCCUGCAGCGUGGCCCCAGCCCCAACUACACUGGUGAUGUCAGAUAAGAGCGGUGUUUGUGUAGCUUUAUUAACGCUUUUCUACCACAGUUUGCACCAUCCCUGUGCGUCACUAACAGGAUAAUCAACUUGUUUAUCCCUGAAUGAGGCUGAGCAAGAUAGAUGGACACAUAUUGCAGUACACAUACACAGGUAUAUGCACAGCACGGGCACACAUACACACACAUACACAGGUAUAUGCACAGCACGGGCACACAUACACAUACACAGGUAUAUGCACAGCACGGGCACACAUACACAGGUAUAUGCACAGCACGGGCACACAUACACAGGUAUAUGCACAGCACGGGCACACAUACACACACAUACACAGGUAUAUGCACAGCACGGGCACA
ensembl:lncRNA